rnacentral:lncRNA from 1 species
AUGUCCCUUUGGAGACGGGAUCGCGCUCCCGGAGCCUUCAGCCUACCGCGGCCCCCGCUGCGGAGCAGGGACCGGCCCGGCGGGCCCGGGGCUGGCACCAGGGUCUCGCCUGCCAAGGCUGGUUUCAAAACUGACGCCGGACCCCGUGCCCACUCCCGGAGCCCACCCAAGGGGAAGGCGAGGGAAAGAAAGCGGAGCGCCGCGCGCUGUUGCCAUGGCCACAGGAGACUUUUGAUGUGAAGCGCGGGGACCCCCCGCCCCUCUCCUUCAGGAUGACGUCACGCGCGUCCGCGCCCGGGCCGGGCGGCCGUGGGUCGGUCUGGGCUUUAAAGCGGCCGUUCUCCCCUGCUGCCCGCAGCCGCAGCGAGAGUCCGCACAGGCCGGACGGCGCUCGGACUCCGGCCCUGCUUCCCGCCUGGCGGCGCAGCCACGCCUCGGGACAGGACAGACCUUCCGAGAGAGGCAAGUACUCAGAGGGGCUUCCUAAGGUACCUUCCUCAGACCCCUAUCCCCUCCCUCGCUCCUUCCCCUUGCCCUGCAGCUCUUGGGGGAGAAGCGCGGAGCCCGAGGGAGGGAUUCCGAGGGAGCUUUUCAUUUCCAGAAAGAAGUGGAGAGCAGCGGUCUUCCUCCCGGCCAUGGCGACGCGUGCCAGGCAGCAAGACCUGUUGCUGCAGAAAAGCGGCCCGGCUGGGUGUUUCAGGCCUCUCCCCGCCCUCCCUGCCCCGGCCGGCGGCAAUCUUCCAUCAGAGAGGGAGGCGCGUCCCGAGGUCUGAGCGCAGAAGUCCUGGGUCUCUGCCUGAAGACACGCAGAGAGCCCAGCGCUGAUGCAAAAACCACGUGUGAAAGGCCGGGUGGCAGCAGGUCAAACACCCCAGUGCAGAGGGCUCUUCCUCCCCGCUCUGUGACCACGGCCCACAAUCCCACUAACCCCCGCUGGGAAUGGAGGGGCGCGGGGAAUGGCGCGCGGGGUGGGGGCGGCGGUGGAGGAGCUCCUUCUGCUGAAAAAGCGCAGAUAGCCCUGGCCUUGUCUUUCCACCUGAAGAACAGAAUGCCUGCCCUUUGGGUCUCGACCCUUGGGUCAGAAUCAGGCUUGCUGAAGAGCCCCGGAGCCCCUCCAUGACGAAUUCGCGCCUCCAGCUUCAGCACCAGAGGCUGGACAGCGCCCCGGGCCGUAGGCGCUCGGGCUAGCUUCUCCCGGCUCCGAACUCCCCGCCCCACGCGGCUCGCACUCUCCACUUCGCAGACCCUAAGCAGAGGAGGUGAGGAAGGGUUCGCCGGGAAGGAGGGGAUCAUCUUCUUCAUUUCUCCAGGGGUUC